UCACUUUGGCCGCAAAUACACUAAAAUUGGAACAAUACAGAGAUUAGCUUGGCCUUUGCUCAAGGAUGACACAAAUGUAUAAAGUUUUCCAUAGUUUU
ensembl:snRNA U6 U6 spliceosomal RNA